UGCUCAAGAUACUCCCCGUCCCAGGAAAAUUUUAAUCGUACUUCUUCUAAGUAAUGCGUUUAUAUCCAUGAUGCACGCUCCUUUCAAUGGAGAUUGAAGCCGAAAUGGAGCCUAGCUCUUCGUCCUUCUUUUCUGCUCUUAAUCUUCUUCCUUCUUAAUGUGUUGAUCCGUGCAUUUAAAUUCCAUUAGGGAAGUUUCUCGAUUGCAAUAUGAUCGAUUUAACGCUAGGUUUUGUCCUCUUGGGUGGUGUUGAAGUACAUGCUUCGAACGUGUCCGGUUUAGUGGUCAACACAGCUGGUGGUGUGUGGUACUCUUACGCCAAGUACCGGCCGGCAGAAAAAGGCUAAACCAGCUAAGCUAUUGACUGAUUUAGAAGCUCACAAAAAAAUGAGAACUUCUGGUCCGAUUCGGUUUCCACAUCAAAUAUGUCCAAUAAGUUAUAUUUGUAAUACUCCUACACUACCGUACGAACCGAUUAUUUUCUUAGAUUGAUUUAAAACAGUGUUGUACU